GCUAAGGACUCACUUUCGAGCUCUCUACAACUGGUGUUGUCAGUAGGCCUCUUCUUCCAAAAGGGUCUCAACAUGAUGCCUGCUGUUUCUCAUUUUGUCAAAAAAAGACUACUUUAUAUUCAUCAGCCACGUCUCUCUGGUGACUUUAUUCAUGCAACAACAAAGCGAAAUGCGUUGUUUUCUGAAUGAAGAGCAUGCUGAGCAC